GUUGUGUAUUUCUGCACGUCUGUUUAUUUCAAAAGAGACCUUACGAUUUUAGGACGGCAACGCGACGACGACGGCCAAAACAAACUCGUUCAAAUAAAUGGUAGUAAAGAUAAUUCGUUGUAUAUUAUCAAUCGUAUGAAUUUAAUACAGUCUUAGAAGUUGAAGACAUGAGUUUUAUGUUUGGGAAGAGUUCUGCUGAACCCAGUUUGAAGUUGCACUUGUUGUGGCUUGAAAUACAGCCGUUGUGUCAAGACGUGAAAAUCUGUGAUUUGGCGUUGUAAACAGAUCGAAGGACAAUGUCUAAAUUAUUCAUAUAUUGUAAUUAUUCAAUUCUUUUCAAUGAUUUAUUGUAUUAGUAGCCGUUGCCGUCCUAAAUCGUAA